rnacentral:snoRNA from 1 species
ACGCCAGUAAAUUACAUCUGCUCAACUCCGAAAUGUUCUGCAGAAAUAAUUGAAUGGGAGGCUGGCUAUAAUAAUGCCGUAGCACGAGCCGUGAGAGACUCUGUUGUCCUCAUGGUCCCAGAAAACGGCUACAGCU